rnacentral:rRNA from 1 species
AGUGAACGCUGGCGGUAGGCCUAACACAUGCAAGUCGAACGGCAGCACAGUAAGAGCUUGCUCUUACGGGUGGCGAGUGGCGGACGGGUGAGGAAUACAUCGGAAUCUACUUUUUCGUGGGGGAUAACGUAGGGAGACUUACGCUAAUACCGCAUACGACCUACGGGUGAAAGCAGGGGAUCUUCGGACCUUGCGCGAUUGAAUGAGCCGAUGUCGGAUUAGCUAGUUGGCGGGGUAAAGGCCCACCAAGGCGACGAUCCGUAGCUGGUCUGAGAGGAUGAUCAGCCACACUGGAACUGAGACACGGUACAGACUCCGACGGGAGGAAGCAGUGGGGAAUAUUGGACAAUGGGCGCAAGCCUGAUCCAGCCAUACCGCGUGGGUGAAGAAGGCCUUCGGGUUGUAAAGCCCUUUUGUUGGGAAAGAAAAGCAGCAGGUUAAUACCCCGCUGUUCUGACGGUACCCAAAGAAUAAGCACCGGCUAACUUCGUG